UUGCUUGUGAAAUUUGAUUCAUGGGAUUCAUUCAUCGUGAUAUAAUCAUGCAGUGCUUGAAAAUGUAAAGGAAAUUAUCACCACUGUCAUCCUGUGAAGAUUGGCAGUACUGAGUCUAGGCUACGAGGAUUUUAUCCUUAAAACAGCGGGGAUGUGUUGUAUAAAGUAGCCAUGCACAGAACACAAUUCGUGGUUUCCGGUGUGAUAAUACGGAUAUGUGUGAUAUUGAAGUAUCAAAAGAAAAGAAAAACAACGGUACAACACGUUAUUGCAAUUGCUCUGCAGGAUCAGUCUGGGUGCAACCUGAUGUAACCCAGUGCAGAAGGUUGUGCAGGUUGAGGCAUAGACAUAUAAACGUUUAUGUCUAUUGAUUGAGGAUAAGUGACGCUUAUUUUGCGACAGUUACAUUGACGUCAUUUAAGCGACGAAUGUACAACAUCAACAACGUCAAGAGAGCAUGGAGGAAGUCGAAGUAGUUGUAUUCUUUAUGGUGUUUUAUUAUUGUGCGAACGUAUUUCUCACAUCAAUGCUGGAAAAGAGGUUGUCGAAUGUGGACAAGGAGAUUGAAUACGCGGAGAUGGCUAGAGCUGAUAGGAGAAGAGAACUCCAACUAAGAAUUAUGGAGCUCGACUUUGAAUUGGCUCGGGCAGAAGUUAGGCACCAACGACGAAGAAGGAUGCUUCGAUACUUUCAUGCACGUCGUUCUCCCGUGUCUGUUUGGAUCCGCAACAGAGCAAGACAAGUGACAGGAACCGGAACAUGAUGACCAACAGGGAUCAUAAGAUGCGAUUCUGUAUGUGACAGUAAUCAACCUUUCUUGGCAGUGUUAUGAUCCUUAAGUAAGGACCGCUAAACACCUAGCCUGACUGGAUUUGGCAUCACCGCUUUGUUCUACUGUUGCGACCGGUGAAGUACUAUCUCCAUUGUUGCGGACAACGACGGAUAUGCUUAAGAUCUUGUGAUGUAACAUAAGACGAGGGGAGAAGGGUGCUACCCCAAGCAUUUGUGGUCAGUGCUAAAUUCUACAAAAGUAUCCUUUUAAAGGAGGGCCAAGGGACUGGUCUUUUGGGAAAUGUUUUCACCUGAUUACUUGUAUGAUGGCGCAAUUCUAUGGAUGGUACAGUUUACUACUGGUCAACAUUGUGGAUACUAAUGGAUAAAAUGACGACACUAGCCAGAAAUACUGGUUACUAUGGUCACUGUGUCUGUUUUGUUUACCCAGCCUGUCCUUUCCAAAGCAGUAUUUUUAAUGUUUUCUUUGACAGUGGUCAACGUGAGUGGGUGCGUCAGCGUUGAUAUGGUACAACCAGCAACGAUUGAUUGUUUGAUAUCUUUGUCACUGAGUGUUAAUAAAUAUAACUGCUUUAAGAUGUC